UAAUGUUGAUAAUGAGUGUUAGUGCACAACUGUUUGAACGCAUCAACUGUUUCUCUCUCUCAUUAAUUUCUUCCAAGCUGACGAGAAUUUCAUCAACCACACAAGACUGCGAUAAAUCCCCUUCAACAAACUGCCAAAUAAUAUGAAAUCCACCAGUUUUCGCCAUUUCUAAGGAAGAUGUCUGUCUCUUCCCUAUCCGUUGAGAGAAAAGCGAAAUUCAGCAUCUCAGAAACUACUCAAACUGGCGUUGAAGAGAAAGGAAGAGUAAAUCUCGAAGCCGAUCAAAUCGACAAGAAAGAAGACGAGAGCGGUGAAGCUGCAGCCACAGUUUCUCACGACGAAGACGGCUUCAAAACUCCGACCUCCUCCGAUCACAGAAUUCCGCCGAUCACGGAGUGCCCGCCCGCGCCAACGAAGCCCCGCCCACCGCCGCUGAGACUGAAGCGAAAAAGCCCCCAACCGGCUGAGAUCGAAUCAAUCUUCCGCUCGAUCGCUACCGAUCAAGACGACACGCAACGCCAUAAAAUAAAAAAAGCUCGAACCGAUGAUCACGACCGAUCGUGAAUCAAUUGAAGUUUAAUGUAUUUUCAAAAUUCAUGAUCAUAUAUUCAUAUGGUUGUAAAAGUUUAUUGUAUUUUCAAUGAGUUGAAUAUGAUCUAGAUACCAAAAAGGUAAACAUUUCUAGCAUAGGCUAGGAAAUAGAGGUGACAAGGACUUGUAAACUUAUUUUCUUAGCCUAUGUUGUGAAAAGUAGGCUACAUAUAAUACAAUCUUUUUUCUAUUGAUUUUA